GUCUACUGCCAUACCACCCUGAAAGCACCCGAUCUCGUCUGAUCUCCGGAGCUAAGUAGGGUUGGUCCUGGUUAGUACUUGGAUGAAAGUGUGUUUCAGUUGAUC
rnacentral:rRNA from 2 species